rnacentral:rRNA from 1 species
AUUGAACGCUGGCGGCAGGCCUAACACAUGCAAGUCGAGCGGAGCUGCGGACGGGCGAGUAAUUCCUAGGAAUCUGCCUGGUAGUGUGGGAUAACGUCCGGGAACGGGCUCUAAUCCCGCAUACUAUCAGAUGAGUCUAGGUCGGUUGAGCUAGUUGGUGGGGUAAGGGCCUACCAAGGCGACGAUCCGUAACUGGUCUGAGAGGAUGAGCAGUCACAGUGGAACGCAGACACGGUCCAGACUCCUAAGUGAGGCAGCAGUGGGGAAUAUUGGACAAUGGGCGAAAGCCUGAUCCAGCCAUGCCGCGUGUGUGAAGAGGGUCUUCGGAUUGUAAAGCACUUUAAGUUGGGAGGCGUUACCAACAGAAUAAGCACCGGCUAACUUCGUGCCAGCAGCCGCGGUAAUAC